GACGAACGCUGGCGGCGUGCUUAACACAUGCAAGUCGAACGGAAAGGCCCUGCGUUUGUGGGUUGCUCGAUUGGCGAAGGGGGGAGUAACACGUGAGUAACCUGCCCUUGACUUUGGGGUAACUUCAGGAGACUGGGGCUAAUAUCGGAUAGGAUCUCCUGCUGCAUGUGGGGGGUUGGAAAGUUUCGGCGGUUGGGGAUGGUCUCGCUGCUUAUCCGCUUGUUUGUGGGGUAGUGGCUUACCAAGGGUUUGACGGGUAGCCGGCCUGAGAGGGUGACCGGCCACCUUGGGACUGAGAGACGGCCCAGACUCCUACGGGAGGCAGCAGUGGGGAACAUUGCACAAUGGGCGGAAGCCUGAUGCAGAAACGCCGCGUGCGGGAUGACGGCCUUCGGGUUGUAAACCGAUUUCGCCUGUGACGAAGAGUGAGUGACGGUAAUGGGUAAAGAAGCACCGGCUAACUACGUG
rnacentral:rRNA from 1 species